rnacentral:lncRNA from 1 species
CACUAUUAUCACCUAAAAUCUGCUGAGAUCUUAUUACAGUUAUACAAUUAUAUAAUUAGCAGACUUUAACCAAGUCAAAUUUGAUGGUCCCAACCCAGAACAUAUUUAGUGACUGAGAUAUUGUGUAUUUUUUAUUUUCUGACAAACAAAAUUCAAAAAAAGGAAAAUCUUACAGGCAGUGAGAGAAGGACUCGCAGCUUUGGGCCCAACGGCUCAGACUUGAGAGGAGAGUGGGAGGGAAAAAAUGCUUGCUAAGCUAUCCGUUUCACACAUGCAGGGACAGAAGGUUCGAUAUUCAUUCGAUCGAUGAAUGAAAAGGCACAAUGGCAAAAUCGGACAGGCUCCUUUUCAAAUCCACGUCUCCGAUGUCCCCCCGCCACCCCUUCCACAGUCUGCAGUGGCUGAGCGGCCGGUGUGGCAGGCAGAGAGAGAAAGAGAGAGAGGAGAGCAAGGGUUACAUCAAGGCUGCUCCCUGGACCGUGCAAACAAGUCUAGACCAGUGACCUGUUCAAUGGCUCCUUUUGAGGUGUGGGGCAAGUUCGGUCAGAGCGAGGAGAAAGGCACGGCACUGCCUCUUUUCAGCACCCGAGCAGCUCACAGCCCUGCGAUCGACAGGAGAGGCAAACUAAAAGUCAGUCCAGCUGAAAAUCAACCAUUUCCCAGAAAAAGUUGUUUCUGUGACGGAGCCCCACGGCAGUUCACUGUCCUCUCUUUGGGCUCAGAGCAGUGAGACGAGUGAGUCAGUGGAAGUGUCAGAGCACCAAAACAGACGGACACCCCACAUAAUUAGCCUGGAGUC